AAGAGGGCAAAAGCAGGUAGGAGAUCAUUAUUACCGAAUGCCCUUUACGACCGUGAAUUGCGUAAAAUAUUGUCGUGGCGGCUGCAUCUAUAAAAACCAACUAAAGGUGGAAGAAUAAAAACGGACGGAUAGAGAUGGAGAAUCACACGAAAGAGGAGUUGCAAGACCCAACCAUGCAAGUUUCAUCUCUUAAUUGCAUCGAUCUCGCCAACGAUGAUCUUCACCGUUCUGUUGUUUCCCUCAAACAGGCAUGUUUGGAUUGUGGAUUUUUCUAUGUGAUCAAUCACGGUAUAAACGAGGAGUUCAUGGAUGAUGUUUUCGAUCAGAGCAAGAAGUUUUUUGCUCUUCCUUUGGAGGAGAAGAUGAAAGUUCUGAGAAACGGAAAGCACAGAGGCUAUACACCAGUGCUUGAUGAAAUCCUAGAUCCUGAGAAUCAAGUUAAUGGAGAUCAUAAAGAGGGUUAUUACAUUGGAAUUGAAGUUCCUAAAGAUGAUCCUGAUUAUGAUAAACCAUUCUAUGGCCCCAACCCUUGGCCUGAUUCUGAUGUAUUGCCUCGGUGGCGAGAAACCAUGGAAAAAUAUCACCAAGAAGCAUUGAGGGUUUCUAAGGAUAUUGGAAGAUUACUGGCGUUGGCACUUGAUUUGGAUGCAAAUUACUUUGAUACCUGGGAGAUGCUUGGAAAGCCUAUUGCAACUAUGCGAUUACUGCAUUAUGAAGGGGUUUCUGAUCCAUCGAAAGGAAUAUAUGCUUGUGGAGCACAUACUGAUUACGGAAUGAUGACUCUAUUAGCCACUGAUGGUGUAAUGGGCCUCCAGAUAUGCAAAGAUAAGAACGCCAAGCCUCAGAAGUGGGAAUAUGUACCUGCGAUUAAAGGUAUUUGUCAGUUUGGUGGAUAUCUUUAUUUUCUUUGUCUACAGCGCAUAUAUAGUGAAUCUUGGCGAUAUGCUGGAACGUUGGAGCAAUGGCUUUUUCAAAUCCACGUUACAUCGGGUUCUUGGGAAUGGUCAGGAACGAUAUUCUGUAAGGCUCUUACUAAUCCACCUGUGUCUGAUCACUACAAUCUUUGUGGACGUGAUGGCUAUAGGGCCUUAUGCUUCAAUGCAUGCUUAUGACAUGUUCAGAACCAGGUCUAGCGUAUAACAUCGACGUUGCAUCCUAUGUUUUCUGAAUGCAGAUUCCGUUUUUCGUGGAACCAAAUCAUGAAUGUCUGGUGGAGUGUCUCCCAACUUGCAAGUCCGAAAGCAACGUUCCCAAAUAUCCAGCGAUCAAAUGUUCGACAUAUCUCACCCAACGUUACAAGGAAACACAUGCAGAGUUAAGCAUUUACAAUCAAGAAAUAUGAAUACUCUUUUCGAUCAACAUUACAAGGGAGAGUACUGAGAGUAAAUUGGUAGUAUGUAAUAUAAGCUCAAAGCGAACCGUAAUAAAUGUUGUAAGAUAAGUAAAUUUUUUUUUACGGGCACACCAUCUCACAUUACAUUUGCUUAUGUCUUGUUUCAACCUAUUCAUCGGUAUAAAAAGGGAAUAAUAAUUUACAGUC